UUGAUGUUCCCAUUUGGUGGAAACUCAAUAGUCAUAGGUAUCCUACUCUUGCCCUACUAGCUCGUGAUGUUUUAGCGAUUCCUCCAUCCACAGUUGCUUCGGAAUAAGCUUUUAGCACCGGUGGUCGUGUGCUUGAUGCAUGUAGGAGUUCUUUAAUGCCUAAGAUGGUGCAAGCUCUUAUUUGUGCUCAAGAUUGUCUACGUGGACCUUCCUAUUAUCUUCAUGACACUGAGAAUGAUUUGGCAGAGCUUGAGAAAGUUGAUGAAGAGUUGUUAAAGAUUACAGUGGACAAUGUACUUGAUAAUCUUUAAGGUAAUCAAGUUGCUGCUGAAAAUCCAACCCAAGAACCUGCCAUUGCACUUCCCUUUGUUGCACCACUCUUGUCUCCUGCAUCUUUCCUUCCAUCUGAACCCCCUUCUGUUGUUGUUUUGUAUGUUUAAUUAUCAUGACAGUAAUGAUAGUUGUUAGUUGUUGGAUGUUCUUGUUGUUGUUGGAUCUUUUGCUUUUCUACUAUGUUGAAAUUUAUAAGGAUCGAAAUGAUGUAGGUCCUUUUUUCUUUUUGCAUAUUUGAAUUGUUGUAAAAGUGCAGCAUCUUUCCUUGAUUUUUGGUUAUAGUUGUGCUGCUGUGGGAUAUUUCUUGCUCUGUUUCUUGAAUAUAUUCAGGGGAGUUGUAGGAA